AUGUAGAAAAUGAUGAUAGAUAGAUCAAAAUGUAGAAAAUGAAUGCUGAUAGAUAGGUCAAAAUGUAGAAAAUAAAUGAAUGAUAGAUAGGUCAAAUUGUAGAAAAUGAUGAUAGAUAGGUCAAAAUGUAGAAAAUGAAUGAUGAAAGAUAGGUCAAAAUGUAGAAAAUAAAUGAUGAUAGAUAGGUCAAUGAAUGAUGAUAGAUAGGUCAAAAUGUAGAAAAUGAAAGAUGAUAGAUAACGUCACAGGACCCCAUUUGGUACAUUUUUUACACAUUUAUUCUAAUAUAGAAAAUACUCACGUGAGAAUUUCAAAUUAAUGUUGAUAUUUUACUAAGACAACCUUUAGUACUUCCAACUGUAUGAUACAAAAAUAAAUAGUACGUGAUAGCUAUUUAUAGAUCCGCGUUUUUUGUGUUACGUAACUUCCGGUCUGGAGCAUGCAGCGAGGACCCCAUUUGGUACAAAGUGAGUACAUUUGGAAACACCAGGAUGAAUCUGAUGCCUUCCUCAUUUCAAAUGUGCGGUACACUCUGGGUGGCAAACAAUAUACAUGAAAGGACUUUUUACAGAAGUAGCAUGUCACCCAAUAUAUUUCUUCUUCUAUCGGAGAAACACAUUGGUGAUACUUGACAUAUAAGCAUGCCGUGUCCCUCUGGGGUUGUACCAUCCUGGUCAGGAGCCUUGUCAAGUGUCGGAAAUACAAUGUAGCUCAAUAUCUGACUGAACACGAGUACUGUAACUGGUGUCCUGACUAAGAGCUCAAUGAGAAUGGCUCAACAUCAACAUUCAUGCUCUUCAUGAUUGAGGCAGUCCUGGUGAAACCAGCAGCCACAUUAUGUACCAGCGUAUCUAUAACCCAAAGGAUAUCUUCCUCCUCAUCAUUACAUCGAUCCCUGAUGUUGCAAAUUUUGCAUGUAUAAAUAUUUCUUCUGCAAGUUCAUUGCAUUUGUUCUGUAGAUGAAAGAUUAAAUUAUGAGUUAAACCAUA